rnacentral:tRNA from 1 species
ACAGCCGUGGCCUACUGGUUAGCGCUUCGGACUUGUAACCGGAGGGUUGCUGGUUCAAACCCUGUCCAGUAGGA